AGAUUUGUCUAAAUAUGGAUGUAUCAAGUCACGUUUUAGUAUUAGAUACAUCCGUAUCUAGGCUAAUCUAAGACAAGAAUUUUGGGACGGAGGGAGUACAUG
rnacentral:pre_miRNA from 1 species